rnacentral:rRNA from 1 species
UACGUAGGGACCGAGCGUUGUCCGGAUUCAUUGGGCGUAAAGAGCUCGUAGGCGGCUGUUCAAGUCGAACGUGAAAACUCGGAGCUCAACUCCGAGCCUGCGUUCGAUACUGGACGGCUAGAGUCUGGUAGGGGGAUCUGGAAUUCCUGGUGUAGCGGUGGAAUGCGCAGAUAUCAGGAGGAACACCGAUGGCGAAGGCAGCCCCCUGGGAUGAGACUGACGCUCAUGUACGAAAGCGUGGGGAGCAAACAGG